rnacentral:rRNA from 1 species
GACAGAGGGUGCAAACGUUGUUCGGAUUUACUGGGCGUAAAGCGCGUGUAGGCGGCUUUGUAAGCCAGAUGUGAAAGCCCCGGGCUUAACCUGGGAAUGGCAUUUGGGACUGCAAGGCUUGAGUGCGGCAGAGGAGACUGGAAUUCCCGGUGUAGCAGUGAAAUGCGUAGAUAUCGGGAGGAAUACCGAUGGCGAAGGCAGGUCUCUGGGCUGACACUGACGCUCAUGCACGAAAGCGUGGGGAGCAAACAGG